AUUGAAGGAAAUCGGAAAAAGUUCACACUCUCAGUAGAAAGGGUGUUCAGACCGCUUGUGCUGCUGUACGUGAUGCGGUGCCUACGUAUCCGAGUUGGGUGGACGGCGCAGCCUUGUGACCCGCCUGUGUGGUAGUGUGAGGGCGACCUAAGGAGCAGAGCGUAACUACGACUGUGAAUCUGACAACGGAG
rnacentral:lncRNA from 1 species